UGCUGCGGUAGCUCAGUGGUAGAGCACUCCCUUGGUAAGGGAGAGGUCGAGAGUUCAAUCCUCUCUCGCAGCACCAU
rnacentral:tRNA from 1 species